GCUCUUUUACCAGGGAUGAUAAUGACAGUACCUGGAGAAUAAGCUCCGGCUAACUCCGUGCCAGCAGCCGCGGUAAUACGGAGGGAGCUAGCGUUGUUCGGAAUUACUGGGCGUAAAGCGCGCGUAGGCGGUUACUCAAGUCAGAGGUGAAAGCCCGGGGCUCAACCCCGGAACUGCCUUUGAAACUAGGUGACUAGAAUCUUGGAGAGGUCAGUGGAAUUCCGAGUGUAGAGGUGAAAUUCGUAGAUAUUCGGAAGAACACCAGUGGCGAAGGCGACUGACUGGACAAGUAUUGACGCUGAGGUGCGAAAGCGUGGGGAGC
rnacentral:rRNA from 1 species